GACGAACGCUGGCGGCGUGCUUAACACAUGCAAGUCGAACGGAAAGGCCUGCUUUCCCUUGUGGAUUGCGGGUACUCGAGUGGCGAACGGGUGAGUAACACGUGAGUGAUCUGCCCCCAACUUGGGUAUAAGCCUGGGAAACUGGGUCUAAUUCCCGAUAGGACUGCAGGGUGGUGCCUGUGGUGGAAAACGAUUUUCUAGUGGUUGGGGAUGAGCUCGCGGCCUAUCAGCUUGUUGGUGGGGUAAUGGCCUACCAAGGCGGCGACGGGUAGCCGGCCUGAGAGGGUGGACGGCCACAUUGGGACUGAGAUACGGCCCAGACUCCUACGGGAGGCAGCAGUGGGGAAUAUUGCACAAUGGGCGGAAGCCUGAUGCAGCGACGCCGCGUGGGGGAUGACGGCCAUCGGGUUGUAAACUCCUUUCGACCGCGAGGAAGCCACCUGGUUGGAAGGGUGGUGACGGUAGUGGUAGAAGAAGCACCGGCUAACUACGUG
rnacentral:rRNA from 1 species